GCGGAAGUUGGUUUCGACAGUUGCAUGGAUGUCUGUGACAAUCAACUAAAUGUGCAGUUGAAGAUCUACUCUAUAUAUGCAUCCCAUGAAGGUUUUGUGAGGACCUCACCUGUUCACCAUGCAGAAGGCAAAGAAGGCUGAACCAGAGAAAAAACAAGUCAAUCUAAAUACAGUGUCUCUGACUGACCUUGUUGAGGAGGAUGCUUGCUUCCUGGGAAGGAUCCCCCUUCAGAAGUUUGUG